GAGGUUAAGAGAAAAGAAAAAGAAGACCAUGCCUCCAACUGUGUGUUGCCGAUUCUAUUUAUUUCCCCGCAAUUUUGUAUUAAAAGUAUUUGUUAAUUUGUAAUUUACGAAUGCUCGCUAGUCAUACAGUAAAAUAUUUUACUUGUAAAUAACGGAUUAAAGCGGUGCUUGAAUUUAAUGACAAUGCUGCAGUUUAGUGGAAUAUUAAUUAAUUUAUCAGUUAGACACACUCCUAGAGUUCCACUGUGGUUCGCAACUCAACAGUUCGUGGCUGCUAACUCAACUAUUUCUAACCCUAUUCCGGAGCCCGAUCCGACCCCAUCUUCUACUACUACGGUAAAUGAUUAAAGAAGUAAUGUCUCUUGCGAGGUUUGACAUUCGUUUAAUCAAAAUUGAGCUGCACAAUUAGACCACUUUGACAAUUGGAACCUCAUUAUGCGGCAAAUUUGAGUUCUACAUGUUUUUUGUUGGUUCAUUUUUAUGUUUGACAAAUAGGCAGUUUUUACACAAGCUAUUGUCAAUUUCUUACU